rnacentral:lncRNA from 1 species
UGAGGGGAAGGUUAUUAUAAUGAAACUGUGGAAGCUUUAAAACUCCCACUCACGCAAUUGAAAGGGAACAUAGAGCAUAAGAGAAAGAAAAGCAAAGUUGCUACCUUGCUUGGCCUGUGGAAACAGCAGCAGGCUUUACUACUGAUUAAAAUGAAAGGGAGGAAUGGACUUUGCCUCAGACCUCUCAACUAAGCUUUGGGGAUGCUAGGGCAAAACUACUUUGUAGGUGGAAAAAACAUCAACAUUUGGAGUUCUUACAGAGUUUUAACUUCGGGAUUAAAUUUAAUCUAUUCAAUGCAGAACUUCUCAGUUCAUUUUUAUGUGCAAUAGCCAUGUUUGAGGCCAGACAUAUGGGCCUAUCUCUCUUUUUUUUUUUUGCUUGUUCUCUCUAAGAGAAGAAUCUGCCUUUUGCACGAGUUAUUGGUAAAGUUUGUUAACCAUUUGACCUGGUGAUGUGGUUUACUUUUGUUGGACAAACUACUUUCUGGAAAGUGGAUUCAUUGUGGUCCCUUGCGUCCUUUUUAAUUGUUGCGACCUUUGAAAGUGCCAAUUGUGAUGAUUAGAGGUUAAAAAACUGUGAAAUUUCACAUGUCCAAGCUAACUGAAAAAGCAAGAGCGAAGAAGCCAAAGAUAACUUAUAAUGUCAUAUAUUAAUUGUUCAGUUCACUCUUACUUUCUAGAAAUGCUUUUGGUGAUUGGUCAAAUACUUCAAUUUCAUUCCCAAUGCCCUCUAUCUUUAUUACUUUUUGCUAAAACUUACAAACAUCUUAUACUCUUAAUAUGAUCUGUCAAGGUAUUUCUCUUUUUUACCAGGGAUUGGUAUAACUUGGAGAAGUCAAAACGUGUUAAAGCAUUCCGUUGUGGUGAAUUUGAUGAUUGUAUUAAACGGGCUGAAGCUUCCCAAGGUAUGCCUCCAAAGAAAAGAGAGAAAUAUGCACGUCGAGAAGAUGCAAUACUUCAUGCUCUUGAACUUGAGAGGCUAUUGUUAGACAAAAAAUAUGGAGCAGGGUUUUCAUCCACUGAUAAGAACAACAAACCUACUGCUGAUAUUGUUGGAAGAGCGUGUGUACCAAAAUCAGAAGACCUGGAAACGGGAGAUCGCAAAUAGAUCCAUUUUCCACAGUUUAUAUUCAUAGGCCUUUUUCUCAUAAUAUAUUGGUCGAGACCAAAACAAUCAAAGUUUAUCGAUUGAGUCUAGGUUGACUGUUGAGAGUUGAGGGGAAGGUUAUUAUAAUGAAACUGUGGAAGCUUUAAAACUCCCACUCACGCAAUUGAAAGGGAACAUAGAGUAUAAGAGAAAGAAAAGCAAAGUUGCUACCUUGCUUGGCCUGUGGAAACAGCAGCAGGCUUUACUACUGAUUAAAAUGAAAGGGAGGAAUGGACUUUGCCUCAGACCUCUCAACUAAGCUUUGGGGAUGCUAGGGCAAAACUACUUUGUAGGUGGAAAAAACAUCAACAUUUGGAGUUCUUACAGAGUUUUAACUUCGG